UACGUAGGGUGCGAGCGUUGCCCGGAUUUAUUGGGCGUAAAGGGCGCGUAGGCGGCUCUGCACGUCCGUUGUGAAAUCGCCCGGCUCAACUGGGCGGGGUCAGCGGAUACGGCGGAGCUUGAGCAAGCUAGGGGGCAAUGGAAUUCCCGGUGUAGUGGUGGAAUGCGUAGAUAUCGGGAGGAACACCAGUGGCGAAGGCGGUUGCCUGGAGCUUUGCUGACGCUGAGGCGCGAAAGCGUGGGGGAGCGAACAGG
rnacentral:rRNA from 1 species